rnacentral:tRNA from 1 species
UCCUUGAUGGCUCAGUGGUAAAGAAUCUGCCUGCCAAUGCAGGAGAUGCAGGUUCGAUCCCUGGUCUAGGAG